CUCACUCUCUGGGGCUAGGUCUGCACCCAGGCUGAACACCACCAACCCCUGGGGUGGGGCACCGCCCUCCUUGGGGAACCAGCCCCUCUACCGCUCCAGCCUCUCCCACCUGGGACCGCAGCACCAGCCCCCAGGAUUGUCCACUGCCAGCGGAGCCAGGUAUCUUGUGUUUUUGAGGGUCAUUUUGUCUACCUCUGUGCCCUGUCAGCAGGCUUGGGUUUCUGCUUUUACUUAGCUGGGAAGAUGUGCCCAAAUACCUACAGACCUGGCCCCUGCCUCCUUGUCUCUGCAUCGUCUCCUUUGCAUGUGCCACCUGGUGCCCAGGCGCUGGCCUUCCACAGCCUUGCAGUGCAUGGAGCCUCCCUGACCUCUGGUGCUUGAGCGCUGAUCGUUGCCACAUGGGUUAAAAACAGCAAUGCUUGCAGCCAGCCAGGAGAAUCAGGUUCUCUGUAGAGCAGGUAAAGGUGUGCCUGUGUGCCUCAUCGCUCGUGCCGUGCACCUGAGAGUGUUUCGUUGAUUCCUCCUCUGUGCCAGGCACUGAAGACACAGACAUGGGACAUUCUCUCCCACAAGCCCACAGUGUGGUCAGGGGGAGGCUGUGAGCCCAGUUUUGGUGCUUAACAGUCGGUUGAGGAGAGAACAAAACACUGGGUGUGUGGCAGGUGGCAUCAGGUGACAGGACGGCUUCCAUGCUGGUGUAGUCUGGCCCAGUGCCUCCUAGAGCUCUCUGCUCCUUGAGGGGGAUGAUGAAAUGUGCCCCAUCCGGACCAGGGGGCGCCUAAAAGUCAGGAAACCUCUUGGAGUAGCCAGUGGGGGCUGCUCUCUGGGUGCUUGGAGACCUUUCACUGACAAGGGGUCUUGUCAGUGAUCAUUACUGAGGGUGUUGGGCUUGGAGAACAUUUAGAGAAUUCCAAAUGGGAGCUGGGAUGGGGGGCUGGUUUCUGAGAUGGUGACCGGAGAGGGUGGGUCGUGACUGGAUAUGUGGGCCUGUAGCGGGCCUGUGACUGCCCUGCCCCCCAAGGGGGUCAACCUCUUGUUGGUUUGGACUGACGUUGGCCAGUCAGCUUCUUGGUUCUGCCUUGCUCAUCACCCAGCCGCAUCCCUGCCUCUUUGACCAUGGUGAGUGAGGGCUUCCCAGUGUGGACAACACUUUCUCAGCGGCUUCCUGGACCUCUAGCUAAUUUUUUUCCCCAAUGUUUAUUUAAUUUUUAGAGAGGCAGAGAGCGAACAGGGCAGGGGUGCAGAGAGGGAGACACAGAAUCUGAAGCAGGCUCUAGGCUCUGAACUGUCAGCAAAGAGCCUGACGUGGGGCUCAAACCCACGAACCUAGAGAUCAUGACUUGAGUUGAAAUCCAACACUUAACCAACUGAGCCACCCAGGCACUCCUAGCGUUUUUUUUAAGCUAGGUUUCAGAGGACCCUGCCAGCUUCUAUAAGACAGGGUGACAGCUGCCAUUCACUGAGCACACAUUGCCAGGCCCUAUCGAGCAGGCUGUGUGAAUGAUGUCAGUAAUCCUUAUAGUGACCAUAUGGUAGGUGGUGUCCUCAGCUUAUGGGUGAGCACACCGAGGUUGACAAGGUUGGCAGCAUAGCCAGCAAGUGGUAGAGUUGGGGUUAAACCAGGCCCCACAGCAGGCUGUAAGGGACACGUGGAGUUCUUGAAGCUGUCUUAAAGGCAGAGUAAUAGGAAGGCAGUGGUAUCUUGAGGGAUGACCGUGGGGAGUCCGUAGACAGGAGGAGAAUGGGUCAGGGCAUCUUCUGGGGGCAUCUCCUUCAGGGAGUGGGAGCAGGUGGACCUGAGUUCUUUCUGGGAAUGGGGCUACAGGAGCUUUCACUUGGCCUUCUCCCCGGAUUUUCACGUGGGCGUUAGCGAACGGGGCUCUGGGCUGUCCCAGCCCCACCCAGCGUGCUGUGAGGCCCCCUAUAGUAAGUGGGUCAGAAUCUUUCAGGGAAAAGUGUGCUGUCUGCCAACCCAGAAUGGUUAUCAGCAGGACCAGAGCCUCUUCUACUAGGUCAGUUCUGCUGAGCCUCCUGGGGCUUCUUAAGUUCUUACAGAUUAUUUUGAGGCACAUUUCUAGAUAGUUCUAGAACUGGGAUUCUGGGAUUGAGCCAAGUGAUUUGAUUGAUGGGCUUUGUUGCUCUUUCCUGGUACAGGGUUCCAUUGGUCUCUCCUGAUAUUUCUCUGGCGUCCCCCCUCCCCAGCCUGAGGGCCCGAGAGGCUGCCAAAGGGGGCCCCCUGGUACAGGCCAGGCAAGUUACAGAAGGGAAGGUCUUACCUUUGCUUCUGGGCCUGCGUGUUGCUACUUGCCCUGCUUGCCUUGGUUGUAAGCCAGGAAGGGGACCAGGCCAGCCAGCUCUGUUAGUUGAAACCGCCUCGAAGGAGCCUUCCUCCUGAGGUGGGUGUUCAUCUUUAUCUCCUCUAGCUUUUCAGGAGCUGGGAGAGGCACAGUUCACUUGCAUGGGCCUAUCCUUGUUUGGAAAAACAGGAUUUCUCCCACGUCUUAUUUGUAUCGAUGCUCUUUAGUUCACUCCCUUCCGGUGGGUGUCGUAGAGCUGGCUGGAAGGGGUGUAAUGAAUACCUGGUGUCUUGACCCAGCAGGGCCAGGAUGAUCGAAAACACUCGACCCCUUGGUCUCCUUGGGGGCUGUGGUCUGGUUCUCCAAGGUGAAUGAUUGUCAUCUACAUUAACUGAAAAUUCCCCAGGGAGUGGCAGGCUGGCGGCACCAUGGGCUGGGGAAGCCUGAGAACCAGCUGUACUUACUGGUAGCCGCUGGAAAGAACAUGUGAAUGAGUGGAAUCAAAAUUCACGGAACCCAUGUGGUUUUUAUUUGGGAACCCGUGUGGUUUCACAUCGCUUCUUGCUCAACCUGGGUAAAACCUUGGCCGACUGACUUCCUUGUGGGAGGCUUUCUGAGUAGGCAGUAAUACAUUGAGAAGGGACUUCGUCUGUCUGUCACUGAGCUGCUGGGUUUAAGAAAAUUUCCUAGUAGCUGAACUUUAUCCCUUUAAGCACCAAAACUUGUGUUUUAAUGAUGUGGGGUGGAAAACUUUCCAAAAUGUGUCAUGCACACUCUCGCCGUCUUUAAUAGGGGGUGUGGUGGCUUAACGUUUUGAUGACUUCCGGUAGUGAUCGUGACCAGCAGUCUGUUGCAGCUUUGGUGUGGCUGAGCCCUGGGGCGCCUUGCCUUUGCACUAAAUGGCCCUUGGAAAUGGCUCUGCCGGUUUGCUUUCAUCUGCUCUGUUCUUGCUACUGCUGUUCUCCCAGCCUCUAAAGGCACUCCCACCUGCUCUCAGCCUGGCCUGGGUGCGCGGGGGUCCUGUGUCCCAGGGGAACCUUCCUCCCGACUGGCUGUAGGCCCUUGGGUCAGCUCUGUUCCCUUUCCACGUCCCUCCUUUCCCCUCUUAAGAUUAAGGAGUUGGGCCGGGAAGUGUGACAUUUCCUUUUGCUCCAGUAUUACAGUUUUCAAGGUUUCAGGGGAGCCCUGCAGGAAGGUACCUGGCGGCUCCUCAGCUUUCCUGUGUCCCCUUUGCUCCUCUGAGAACAGGGGAACAGUGGACAUUUGUACUGGGCUGUGGAUUGAGCCUCACAACCACCCCAAAGGCCUUUUAGAAUUGUUCUCAUCUUACAGAUAGAAAAAUUGAAGCUCAGAAAGGGUACUUGACCUGGCCAAGGGCACACAGCUUUAAGCUGGAGCAGGUGCUGUUAGCGGGGUCUCCAGAGCCACCCNNNNNNNNNNNNNNNNNNNGCCCCCCCCCCCCCCCCCCCCCCCCCCCCCCCGCCCCGAGCCGUGUCACAUUCCUCAUACUGCACGUGCUGCCCGGGGUUGCUGAUUAGUGCUGGCUCACCCUGUGGGGAGCUGGUAGGAGGCUAUGCAUUUCCUUGGUCCAGCCUCCCAGCCUUGCCCUUUGCCCAGGGGCUGUCCAAUCUCGCCUUCACAGAAGACUAGAAAUCCUCGUGUCUCAUUCUGAGCUCCAUUUGGAAGCUCCUGGGGAUAGUCCCAGACAAGAAAGCCAGGUUGGGCCUUGUAGAUAGACCCAGGAACAGGGGAGGCCCGGAAGGUUGCCUGAGUCCAUGACUAGAAGGGCUCUACCUUGUGGAAUUCCUUCACUUCUAGAACCUAAGAAUUGCAAAGACCAUCAGAGAUUAUCUACCUUCCUUUAAAAAACCCAAAUGGGGGGCGCCUGGGUGGCUCAGUCGGUUAAGCAGCUGACUUCGACUCAGGUCAUGAUCUUGUGGUCCGUGAGUUCAAGCUCCGCGUCGGGCUCUGUGCUGACAGCUCGGAGCCUGGAGCCUGUUUCGGAUUCUGUGUCUCCCUCUCUCUGACCCUCCCCUGUUCAUGCUCUGUCUCUCCCUGUCUCAAAAAUAAAUAAAACGUUUAAAAAAAAAUAAAAAUAAAUAAAAAUAAAAAAAUAAAAAACCCAAAUGGAGAAACAGGCCCAGGAAGGGGGUGGUGGUGGCUCCAGAUCAAACAGUUUAGUGGGACCAAACCUUAGCGCAGGUGGUCUGAAUGCCUGGCUCUUCCCCUGCAUUAUCAGAGCACUCUGGAGCCAGGUCCCUUGUUCCCUCAGGCUUGCGUGUAGCCGAGGCAGGGGCCACGAUGUGAGUAGUGUGGCCACACGGGUUAUUCUCUUUGGGGAGACCAAUCAAGAAAUGAAAACAAAACAACCUCUUUCUUCACUCAGACAAAUACCGAGGUGCCCCAGGAUGGGCUGGAAGACGUGGGAAUUGGGCCAGUGGGGGGGGUGGAUUGUCAGGCGUUUCAGGCCAUCUCCGCCAGCCGGUCUCCAGUGUGGGGCUCUUCCCAAACCAGAGUCGUGUAGAUUUAUUAACACUUGAGAAAUAGAAUGUCUUAGAACCAGAUGAAUGACUCAAACAUAGUUACUGUGGGAGGCAAGACCCCCAUUUAAAAAAAAAAAAAUCCAAAAAGAAAUUCUUUUAUUUUGAACUGGUUUUAGGUUUAUAAAAAAGUUAAGAAAUAGUGCAGAGAGUUACCAUAUCUCCCUUCCUUGACUCCUCUCAUAAACAUCUUUCAUAACCAUGCUGUAGUCCUCAGAACCCGGGAAUGGCCGUGGGUGCGUUCCUGUUAACCAAGGACUUUUCUCGAUUUUCACCGGUUUUUCACCACUGUUUCCAUUCUGUCCCAGGAUCCUGGGGGACCCCACUUCGCAUCCAGUUUUGCUUUCUUCUUCCUUUCCUCCCUUCAGUAGGAGUUCCUCCUUUAUCUCCCAUAACCUUGACACUUUUAAAGAGUUACUUUGUCGAAUGUCCCUUAAUUUGGGCCUGUCUGUUGGUUUCUCAUGCUUGAGGUUAUGCACUUUUGGCAGGAACCACAAAAAUGGUGUUCUGUCCCUUUCGGAGCACCAUUUCUGGGGUUCCUGGUGUUGAUUGGCCCUAUUACUGGUGAUACUGGUCUUGAGUACUUGUUAGAGCGGUUGCUGCCAGAUUUCCCCUCUUCAGGUACCAUAGAGCUCUUAUUCUGACAAAGUGAGUGAGCUCAGAAUUCUUUUAGGAUUGUCUUCAGAGUCUGAAUUGCCCAGGAAAACAUUUUUUUUUUUUUGACAGUUUAUGCUUCCUUCUUGAUCGCUUGUAAAAAGCGGAGGCUCACCCCCCCCCCCCAGCAGUGUUCUCUCCCAUCACUGCUCUGGCCCUGCCAGCUGAUGCUCCCCCCACUCGAUGCCUGGCUUGGAGUUUUACGUCCCCACUUGAUUUUUGUGGCGGUCGUGGGGCUGGCUCUGGGCUUCACAUCCUCAGCAGUCAGAUUCUGUAGGUUAGUUUGGGUCUAAGAGUGCUGAAAUUCAGAUUUCUUUGAUUCUCUUUCCAGACAUCAGGAUCUUUUUAAUUAAAAGAAAACCCAGAAAUCCUCACUCACACAGAAGCAGCCAUGCAGAGUGAAGCUGCGAAGCGGCCCCGGCAACACCAGCGAAUUCCCAUCUUGGUCUUUCUCUGGCUCUUGUUCCUGCUAAAUCGGCUCCUACGUUAAGCUUUGUUCUCUCCUCUCCCCUAGUGCCUCCCUCCCCAGCGGUCCUGCCGGCAGCCCUGGGAGCGUCCCUGCCGCUGUGCCUGUGCAAAUGCCGAAGCCCAGCCGGGUCCAGCAAGCCCUCGCAGGUAGGCACCCUGCUGGGUUCCGGGUUCCAGAACAGACCACCUGGCAGGGGGCAGGAUGCGGAGGUGGUGGGAGAAUGCGUGGUUGAGGGAGGAGAUGGUGGGGUGGGGGUGCUGUUACCUUGUUUCUUCUCACGGAAAGCCGCAGCCACUCCCUAGGGGGCGGUGCCUCUUUUGGGUGAUGGGUGACAGUGUACGCACCCUCAGCGAGUGGGCCUGGGGCCGCCCCUCCUUUGUCUCUCCAGGGGAGUCCUGCUUGAUAUCAGUGGGAACCAUGGUGUGGACCUUUCCAUCUUUUACAUUUUCACGUCACUUCAAUUAUGGUUUGAGUCACUGCUCUGUCCUGAGAUGCUUUAGGCAUUUCCCGAAAGGGGCCCUUUGGGGGAACUUGCAGCUAUUUUGGCCGCAGUUACGUUUUGAAUUAAGUGGCUUUGUGUCCAACUGGAUCAUUUGUUAACCAUACAUCUUUGAACUGUUUUUUAGAUUCCUUUUAUAGUUUAGGGAGCUACUGGAAGUUACUUUUUAACUAACGGGAAAUGCAAUGUGUUAUGGAAAGCUAGAGGGGAGGAGUGUAGUGAGGUUGAAGCAGGGGAAUAAGAUAACCCGAGUCUGUGUGUUAGGGUGAGUCACCGUAGUAGACAGUGGGAGUUCGAGGGGACAGGCCCGGGGCAGGGAGACCCGUGUGGAGCCCGACAUGAUGGCUCAGGGGAGCCGUGGCAGUCGUGGAGGUAAGAGCGUCUGACUUGGUGACUGGGUGCGCCAUGAGAGAGAGAAGGAAUAGAAGGAGGCCCGGUGUGAGGCUGCCGAUGUGGUGCUAUAACACGUCGUGAUCGUUCUUGAGGAUCAUGUAGGGGCUUUGCAUGUGUCUUCCUUCACUUCUUCCCAGUAACAGCUCUGUGAAGUAUGAACUUUUAUUCCUAUUUCAUACUUGGGGAAAUAGCCUCAGAGAAUUCCAGACACUUCCCAAGAUGAGCCAGUCAGCCCUUGGUAGAGCUGGGACUCAGCCCCAGGCAUUCUAGGCCUCAGCACCUGGGUUCUUAGCCAUUACACUGUGCCGAUCCGGAGUCUGGUGGGAGUGCGGGGAGAGGUGGGGGGUGCUGGCUGUGGUUGUGGCCCGGCGCAUCUGUCCUGGGGGCAGUGGGAGUUUGGGUGUGCAGCUCAGAAGAACAUUCUGGGGUGGAAUGGGGUGGCCUCUGCCCCCGUGGGGGGAUCGUAUGAGCUCACAGAGACUGUAAGUGGGAUUCUGGGAAGAGCCCUUGAAGGAAAUGGAGGGACCAAUCAGAAAAGUGAUAGAAGACAGGAGAGGGGGCCCCUCUGGAACCUGCUUCAGCUGCUCAGCCAUCAGCCUUCUACGGGGGCAAAGAGAACAGUGAGCAAAGAUGUGGUGACUGGAAAGUUCCUCCUGAGUUUAGGUCCUCUUGUGGCAUCAGAUGCCAUAGGUGAGUCAGACCUGUGUGUGUGUGUGUGUGUGUGUGUGUGUGUGUGUGUGUGCGCGCGCGCGUGCGCGCAUGUGUGUGGUGGUGGUCUUAUUGGAGAACGGUUGUAGGUGAAUAGGCCUGGCCUGCAUAUGGCCCUGCUCCAUUCAGCACUGUAAUCACUAAGGCUUGAAUACAGAUGUUAUAAUAACUUUUCUAAUAUUUUUAAGUUUAUUUAUUUUGAGAGAGAGAGAGAGAGAGAAUGAGUGGAGGAGGGGCAGAGAGAGAGGGGGACAGAGGAUCCUAAGCAGGCUCCAUGCAGACAGCAAAGAGCAGGAUGCGGGCCUCGAACUCACGAACUGUGAGAUCAUAACCUGAGCCAAAGUCGGAUGCUUAACCAACUGAGCCACCCGGGCACCCCUGUAAUAACUUUUCUAAACGCGUCUCAGAAGUGGUCUGGGGGUUGAGUAGCACUUGCUCCCUUUCUGCUGCUCUUGAGGCUGAGGACCUUCUCUGGUCUGUAUCCCAGAUUGUCUCCAAUGUCCCCUGUCACCUUGGCUCUCAGAUCGAUGCAGGAGGUAGGUAGGUCUUUUAACCUCCAUUUUACUCACUGGGGAAACCUCAAAGAUUUAGGAACUCGGUCCCAGCGAGCACGGAGUGGAGACUCAAGCCACUGGUCAGAUGCCACCUCCUCUGAACACAGCCUCUGGCUUGUAGUUGUUGGUGGGACCCUAGUCUAAAGUGUCAGGGAAGGAGAGAUCCUGAGCCAGCCUCCAGGAAGUAGGGUCUGGAGAACAGAGUGCUGUCUUCCCUGCACUGAGCACUCUGUGGGUAGGUUUACAAGCAAGUGGUCAUCUACACUGGGACAGGAGGUCCACCGAGGAGCCACCUCCAGGUCAGGCCUCAGUGCCUCAGGUGACAGCUUCCCUGGCUGCAGCAUGGCCCAGCCCUCUCCUUGGAGUUUUCUGCUUUCACAGCCUGCCCAAGCCCAGACAGCCAGGAGGAGUGGGGCUGGCCGGGCAAGGCCAGAGUCAGGACGGGCUUGGACCUGAGCCCCGGUCACUAGACGAAGGGCUGACCCCUGGUGUCAGAAAGAAAGUGAUUGUACAUCUGACCGCGACAGGGACUGCUCUCUCGGGGGCUCUGACAGAUAAGCGGGAAUCCUCUCAGAAGAGUGGAGAAGCUGUGGCCGUUCAAGCUGCUACAGUUAUUUGGGGAUGUGAGGAGUUUGGGGGGUUGUCCCUGAGCUCUGCUGUUGGGAAGAUGUGAUGGCCACCUCUGGGUGUCUCCCCACCUCAUCCUGUCCAGUGGAUGUUGCUUUCGCGAAGUGUGGGUGUGGGGUGGUUCUCGCACGUUCUUGCAAGAAGGCAGGCCACAGAGCAGGGGCUGCUUCUCCGCAGGCUUUUAAGUUGAGACUUCUGUGUCCGUGACUUGAAUUCAGGGGAGGGGGUCCUGCAUUGACCGGAGCAGAAGCGUUGUUCAUGCUGGCCUCACAGCAGCCACCCAGCAGCAUUUGGGGAUAUCUUGGUUCCCCAGCAGACAGGUGCUGUGAACACCUCCUGUGACCGGGCCCUACCCUGGGUGUUCAUUGCAGGGAAGACAGCAGUCCCCAAAACAGGUAUGCGAGUCCUUUCAGGUAACACUAAGUCGGGUAAAGGAGGCAGAGAUGGAGGGGACGUGGCUCUUAUAGAUGGGGUGGUCAGGGCAGGGCUGCCUCCUAGGAGACACUUGGGGAGAGGUCUGGUCGAAGUGAGGCAGUGGGUGUUGGGGGAGGAGGUCAUGGUCAGCACAGAGGCCCAGGGCUCUACUAAGGCAUCGUUCCCGUCCCCUCCAUCAUUCUGUCCCCGUGCCUGCUUGUCAUUAUUCUGUCCACCGGACGGUUAGGUUCAGACUCACAUCUGAGCUCAGAAGCACUCAACCCUAAGACGCUGGUGGCAUUGCAUUACCUGACAAGCGAGCGCCUGGGGUGCAGCCGUGGUCUUCUGACGUGCACUUUUGUGUCUCUUGCAAGUGGCUGCCACGGCACCCCCUGCCCGCCUCUGCUGUGCUGCCCAUGCCCAGGCUGCUGGCUGGCCUCUGCUUCUGUCCCUGACUGGGCAUGUUUGCCACAUUGAGUCUUUGUUCUGUAGAGGCCAUGGUGGCUGGCCCGGCCAGGUCCUAGGGCCGGGUUUCCCCUCACCCAUUUGCGUUGCCCCUGGAGUGGGCAGCACCAGCUGCGGGAUCUCCACUUCCUAUCCCAGGCUGCCCGCAGGGAAGGUGGCAGAACGGAACCCAGAGCUCUCCUGGGGAGGAGGUGGUUUUGAGCUAGACAGGGCAGGGGGGACUGGUUAGGGGUGCUGUGGACAGCAAGGUAGGCUGAGGGUGUAGUAGGACUACAGACUGCAGCAGGAGGACAGGCCGUGUUCCACAAUGUGUCAGGUCCUCAGGGAGCGGUGAGGGGGGAGAGUCCGGUGAGGGUGUGUGUGGAGCACCGGGCUGAGGAGUGAGGCCUUUCCCCCGUGGGUAUGCCCACCCUGCCCCGUCCGGGGCAGAGGGGCUGUUUGAGCCCUGACCGAGGGCACGAGAGGAGGAGGCCACGGCCCCGGGACCCUUGCUGCUCCAGAGGAGCAAGGGCCUUGGGGGUGCCUCGGUGGGAGAGCAGGUCCCGGGGCCAGCAUUCCUGCCCACCCACCCUAGCAAUGGCGCUGAAAACACCUAGACAGGCCAGAUGGGGGACAGGAGGCAGACAGCACCCCACUGGAGGCAAGGUGACCAGGAGCCAAGAGGGCACAUCCGGGGGAGCACAGGGGGUGGACUGGGAGCUCGAGACCCCGUCCACAUCUCCAUAGUUUGGCCGCAUCCUUCCGUGUCACCGCCUGCUCUCCUUGCUCCUAGCACAGGGAGACCCCAUCUGGAACUGCUUAGGAGGCUUCCUGGGAUGGCUUCCUGCCCUCUGCCCUCCUGAAGCAAGCGGCCUCGCCCCGCCGCCUUCCCCGCAUGCUGUGAGCGCGGGCUGGGUGGUUGCUUGUACAGUUAGCUGUGGAACUUGGGGCCGGGGCUCCGAUGAGCCGGGCGUUUCACUGGUUCCUGGCCUGGAGCUUAGCCCAGCGCGCCCGAGUAGGCCCUGGCAGCCUACUGAGUCCUCAGAGAGAUCGGUGGGUCCUGCUGGCUGUUGACAGUGCCACCUGGACUCAGCCAGGGUUUGUGGACGUCACAUGCUGAAUGACUCCUUCUAACGUUUCUCCCCUCUCUGCAUGUCUGAUCUCGCACCCCGUGUAGGCAUGACGAGUAUUCUGAUGUCAGCCAUUGGACUCCCUGUGUGUCUUAGCCGCGCACCCCAGCCCGCCAGCCCUCCCGCCUCCUGUCUGGCCUCUAAAAGUCACAGCUCAGUUAAGAGAUUGAGGAAAAUGUCCAUGAAAGGUAGUUCCUGCUCACAAAUGCUCUCUGGCCUCUGCUAAGCCUCCGAGUCUUGCUGCCUCUGACUCUCCUGCAUCGACUGCUCUUCUUUGACUCCUACGGCCCUUCUCUGCUUCCUUUACCCCCCAGGGGAGGGGCUCAGUGGCCCUUCUCCCUGCUCUCAGCACAGAGGUGGCCCCCAGAAUCUACUUAACACUCAAGACCCAGAGUUAAGCUCCUAUCUUCCUGGCACAGUUGGAGCAUGAGGGGCCUGUUCUUGAGGACUCCGUGACUCUAUAUGGGGUGAGGCCGGCUCAGGAUGGGGGUGACUCUGUCCCUCCCACCGGGACCAGCAUGUGUCUCAGGAAAGGCCCCCAGCCCUAUCUGGCCUACUUCCGAGGGGUCUCCCACUGAGCACCGUGCUGCCCAUCACACGGCUGGGGAGGAAGGGGUUUCAGAACCGUGGAAGGUGCAGUGAGUUUUAAGCAGACUUACAUGAAGGAGCCUGUGGGUAGUAGCUUCUAAAGCUGCCAUUUCUAAAGCUGAGAGCGGCUCUGCCUCCAGCUUUGGGCUGGAGACGCACAGACUGCUGAAAGCCCAGUGACCUUCAGGAUGGUGGGGUGAGCAGGGAGCAUGGCUCUGGCUCAGCCAGUCUUGGGUUCCAGUCGUGGCUUCUGUGCUCACUGCUUUAGGAUCUCACGCCUGUGUCUCCAUUCAUGAGCCGGUACCUCCCACUUAGCAGAUUGGUCGUGGGAGGAAUAGGAAAUCCACAUGUGAGGUGCCCGGCACAGAGUGAUGGGGGCUGCUCUGACCCUGGCCCACCAUCUGUCUAACCCCGACCUUGCAGGUGGCACGGAGGCCCAGGGAGCGGCAGGGCUUCAUACCCAGUGUCCCGCCUCACCCGGGUCCCCGAAGUCAGGCAGGCCUCGGAUGUCCUGACCCACUCCCCUUUUCCUCUGCCUUGGAGGUAGAGGCAGGUCUGCGGGCAGGGCAGGCCAGGAGUUUCCUGAGAUACUUGGGCUUCCCCGGGAAGGACACACGUUCUUGGCAGACCCUCUGGCCUUCCUGGGCUCAGGUGUCCCUUUCUUGGGGUUGGUGGUCACCUGGCUGGCCCCCUUUGAGAAACACAGCUCAUGGAAAGCUACCUUCGGUUCUAAAAGGCUGCCCGGGCAAAGGCGAGUGGUGGGCAAAUGGGAUGCGGAGCUGAGCCAGAGGUGGGCCCAAGGCUGGUCCGGGCAGGUGGGGUCCUGGGAUCCUUCUAGAGACUGACUUGUAGCCACCAGUCUUUUCUAAAACGCCUCUUCCCUAAGUCCAAGUAGAGUCGCAGCUACGAGGACGGCCACUGGUGCUGGUGGUCAUUGUGCUUUGGCCUGACUUUCUUACCAGUGACCAGUCAGUGGCUUAGAAAUCUGUGUAUGUGUCUGUAUGUGUACUGGGUGGGGGAGAGGGGUGUGUGUGUGUGUGUGUGUGUGUGUGUGUGUGUGUGUGUGUGUGUGAGAGAGACAGACAGAGUGUGGGGUGCAUGUGUGUGUGUGGAUGUAUGUGGGGUACAUGUGUGAGGGGGUAUGGGUGUAUAUUGUAUGUGUGAGGGGAUGGGGGUAUAUUUAUAUGAGGGGGUGGGAGAUGCGUUUGUGUGUACGGGUGUGUGUGUGAGGGGGUAUGGGAUAUGUUUGUGGGGGAUGGGGUGUGUGUGUGGGGAGCAGGGGGAGAGGGAUGGGGUAUGUGUGUGAGGGGGUGAGGGAUAUGUUUGUGGGGGAUGGUGGUAUGUUUGUGUGUGGGGGUGGGGUGGGGAGUGUGUGUGUGUGCGCGCGCGUGUGUGUGUGUGUGUGUGUGUGGAAGAGAGGGUGAUAUUCCUUUGCCAGUCACUGCCUUUUAGGUAGUAGCGGUUCAUGCCUUCACAGCAAUCACAGUUUCGGUCAGGGUUAGGUUUCUGUUUUUAGGUGAGGGAACUGAGAUUCAGGUGACGUGAUUUGGUCCCAGCACAAGAGCCAGAAUCAUGCCUGACGUCGCCUGCUCCCAGCCUCUGCUCCCUUCAUAGCUGACCCCUAGCCUUCUCUGGUUUUGAGGGCGCUUGGCUGUGGAGCCGUCAGGCUCGUAUGUCCUUGCGGCCAUAGGCUGGUGGCUAUGAGUUUGAGUUCAAACCAGGUCCCUCGGGACUCAGAGGCUAGGACCAGGAGCUGCCUGGUGACCUGGAGGCAGGAUGUGGAGCCCUGCCGGGGUUGCUUUCCCAGGCCACAUUGGUCUCCCUGGUCCCUCCUUUCUGCCCCUGCACGGCUUUGCUGCCAUUCUUUGUGAUUCUGCCGCUGCCUCUGGCUGGAGAGCCCCCCCCACCCCGCACCCCGCCCCGGGCCUGGCCGGUUCUCUCGCCCGCUGCGGGAGUUUCUUGUUUUGGGGGCGUGGGGGCCGGUGCUCGUGCAGGUGCAGCGUCAUGCAUAUGUGCACAGAGGAGUGGGGUGGCCAGGGUGCCCCUCCUGCUGCUCCUCGGCUCCUUCCCAGAGUUGGGGUGUCACUGAGACCCCACAGUCCAGGGACAGGCGAGAGAAAACCGGGGUUUGUCGUGACCCUGUCAGCGUGGCCGUCAUCCGCAGUCAGUGGGCAUCUGUGUGCCGCGGGGGUGGGCACCCGCUGCACGUUCGGCGCCUGAAACUUCUCCUGCCUUGGCUGUCGCACCAGAGUAAUGACAGUUGAGUGAAACAGCGCUGCCGGGACACUCCCCACAGUAGUUUGUUUUAAAAGCUGCUGUUUGGCUUUUCUGUGUGUCCUCCUGAGGAGCCUGGGUCCGUCUAGCUUCCUGACUGAACGUGCACAGGGACGUGGUGGAGGCCCAGCACGCAGCUCCUGGGGGCUGUGACCGGCAGCCGUCUCUGGUCCUCGUCCUGGUGGGGCCAGAGGGGGCUCUGCCUGGCAGGGCUCUGAGUGGCCGAGUCGGCCCCCCACCCCCCCGUCUCUUCUUGCACGCUCACCUCCUGCCCUGGCCUCUCUGAAUGUCCCUCCUGGCGGCUUGUCCUCUUCCUCUCUGGAUCCAGCGUCCCCAGUUCGUACUCCUUGGGACACUGCUUCUGUCCUUCUCUCUUCUAGGAGGGACUCCAAAGCCAGAGCCAGAACAGGUGAUAAAAAACUAUACCGAAGAGCUGAAGAUAGCCCCAGAUGAGGUAUGUGUCACGGGAGCCAUGUUGCCUUUGGUUUCGUUUGGAGACAGGAGUAGCGCCAGAGAAGGAUACCAGCCCUUCCUGUGCCGCGGGGGGUACUUCCCACAGUGCCUCUGGGUUGCUGGCCAUGCUCCAGGUGCUUGGGUUUAAUCUCCCAGCCUCCCAUAGGAGGCUGGCCCUACCAAGAGGAGGCAGCCUGCACUUCAGAGGCCUGGAUUCUGAUCCUAGCUUUGCCGCCAGUGAGCAGAGCUCCUACACAGGCCUCUGGGUGCUCCUGUCCCUGUGCCGUCCUGGUGCCUGGGAGUCCUGGAGGCCAAGGAUGGGAGAGCCUGCCGCACUCCCCACGGGCUGAGUGGCUUUGUCCCCAUAGCAGUCCUGCCCCUCUGGCUACUGGGAAAGCCAGCCAGGCUUCCUGUAAUUACAGGGACUGCCAGACCCUCAUAGCUGCUUGGGCAGGACCGGAGCCUCUGUGCUGAGCCUUGUUUCAGGGGCCGCAGCGCCACUUGUCUGUGAUUUGAAUGGGGCAUCCUGGGGACUCUGGACAGUGGGUUAAAGGGCGGUCAUGCCCGUGCGGAACCGAGGGCUCUGCCCUGCCUCUCCCCUGCAGCUCUGGCUGGUAAAGCUUUAGACAGUGACCUGGAGGCCGUCUUCGUGUCUCCCACUUGACAGCAUACGUCUGUGUCCUUGUCUUUGCCCUUGUGCUCACCCGGCAUCACUGGGCCACUCUGUGCCAGCCUCCUGCCCUCCAAGCUGCCACCUGUACAACCUGCACGCAGCUGUGGUCCUGGUGGUGCCCCCACUGUAGAGCACCUCAGCAGGGUCCCCUGACGUGUGAGACGAAGCCCAGCUCUGAGCUUAGCCAUCAGAACCUUCCGGGACCUGGUCCUGUCCCACUGGUCUCUUACACUCUACUCACCCCUUGCCCCCUGCAAUUACCGCCGCCCUCCCCAAACUCUAUGCUGGUUCCUGCUUCAGAACAUCCUCUUCCCUUUCUCUGGAAUGCCCGUUCCUGUGCUUGUCUACCCGACAAGGUCCUUUCCCCUGUGACACCCAACUUGGGGGGCACCUCUAAGGAGCCUGCCCUGUUCUGUCCCCUUUCCCUGCCCGUGCCCUGUUACUGCCAAGGCCCCCAUGUCCCCCAUGCUCACUGCUGCCUGUUGUCUUCUGUACUACGGUGAGCCCUCUGAGGGCGCAGAAUCUGGGGACUCCUCUGUGUUCCCAGCUGUGUUCCCAGCUGUAGAAUUGUCCGUAAUCCUGGCGUUUCAGCAGACAAAGGCUUUUUCUUUCCCUUCUCCCCUUUUGGCACAGUGGGCCAUUGGUGAGCGUGCCCUGUGUUGGUCUCCUUCUAGGACUGCAUCAUCUGUAUGGAGAAACUGUCCGUGGUGUCCGGGUACAGUGACGUGACUGACAGCAAGACCAUUGGGCCAGUGGCCGUGGGCCGCCUCGUCAAGUGCAGCCAUGCCUUCCACCUGCUCUGCCUGCUGGCCAUGUACUGCAAUGGGAACAAGGUGCCCACACGUCUGACCCCAGGGUGGGGAUCAGGGCAACCUGCCCAUAGUCCUGUCCCAGUCCUGUCGCAUCUGAGCUGGUGACUGCUGCUGCCGUGUGAGCCCCAGGGCACUCAGAGGCGACCUUAAGAUGUCUGUAGGCCUUGGCCUCACAGCAGGAUAGGGGUUGGCCGCCGGGGGUGCCGAGGGUGACAGGUGAUACUUGGCUGCUUCCCUUCAGUGGAGUUCAGCCGGAAUGGACAGGUUGGGAGGACAGAGAGAACUGAGUCACGUGGCAGACCUUCGGGCCCGGCUUGGCCUCUCUGCAGAUCGCUGUGCCACCCCUGUACCAGCCAGGGUGCCAGCACAGUCAGUUGAGAGGUCACGGGGUUUUUUGUUUGAUUUUAAACAUGUUAGACCGUGGAGACUUUUGCUCAUAAACCUGAUUUUCCUACUUGAUGCUCGCCUCCUGGUACCUCACCCCUUGGAUGGAAAUGGCUUGAGGAGUUUCUGGUGUAGGACAUCUUCACAGGGACGCUCUCAGGAUCGGGUUUCUGUGCAAGGAGGGACCUGCUGUGUGACAGCGGGCCGAGCUGAGCCCCUGUGGGCUCUUCCCCACCUCGACAGCCAGACAGCGUGCCUGGGUGCUCUCUCGGCACCGGCUGAGACUAGGUGCUCUGCUCUGCCUCAGGACGGGAGUUUGCAGUGUCCUUCCUGCAAAACCAUCUACGGAGAGAAAACCGGGACCCAGCCCCAGGGAAAGAUGGAGGUGUUCAAGUUCCAGGUGUCCCUCCCUGGCCAUGAGGACUGUGGGACGAUACUUAUAGUUUACAACAUUCCUCACGGCAUCCAGGUAAGGGGCCCCAGCACAGGAGGAGCCUCCUCAGACCGUUCUGGACUCGGUCCCUCUCGCUCUGGGGCACACUUCUUCCUACCCUGCCCCUCUCCCUGUAGUCUGCCUUCCCCCCCCCCCGCCGGCCCCCCACCCCAGGCACUCAGGAUGCCCGGGCUUCCCAAGUUCAGGCUCCCAGGAACCGGGGGCACUGGUGUCUGGAGGUGGAACAAGCUCUUAGGGCUGUGGAAGCAAACAGAUGGCCUCCAGCCCUUUCCUGACGCAGGGAGGGCGUCCUGGAGGCGGAGACAUCCUGGCUGGACUUGUGCUGGGCGGGAGGCCAAGUGUAUAAGCAGGAAGAACACUUGUGUUGAAGGUCUGGAUAGUGGAAGAACCCAGAGGGCAGGGAGGUGCCAACACUGAGGACUGUCCUUGAGAGACCAGCUCGGUGGCCAGAUCCAGGCCUGUGGCAGGGCUGUGUCUGAUGUCAAGAGCAAGACAGGAGCCCGAGCAGAAGGUCGCAGUAGAGACCCAGACAGGAGCCCUGGACCCUUAGGCCUCCUGCUUGGGCCAGGACUGACCUCAGAGCUGGUGGCGGGUGGGGAAGAUACAGGGCUGUGGAGGCCAGGACCCAGGUGGCCUGUCUGUGACAGAUGGAGAGUCCCUCUUUCGUUUAACCAUAUGCUUUUCCCUGGUUUCCCUCCAUUUCUUCUCAGUGGGUUGUAGUGAAUUUUAAAAACAUUCCAGACAGCCCCAGAACCACAGAGCAGGAGGGGAGUGUGGAGUAUACGUGGCGUAGAUGUGGCGUGUCUCUGAGUGGCAGAGGGCACGGGCAAGGAUCCCCCACUGUUCCAGCCGCCCACCCUUCCGUCCAGUUUGCUGCCAUUGUCUCCGGCCCCGCCGUGGCACCAUCUCAAGCAAGGAGCGAGGGCGUCAGGAAGGGAGGCCUGGCCUUCUAGGCCAAAGAGCCCAGUGCCCAGCGGAAUGGGAGCCCCAGCCUUUGAUGAAUUCCAGUCUCAUCAGGACAUUUGCAGGAGUGUGUGAUGCCAAGCCGAAUGGCGUGGGGUUAGGGAAGGUGGUCGCCGGAGGCAGGCCACGUCAUGUUGGGUCUCUGAGGGGCAAGAUUUGAGACAGCGAUCUGUUUGGUCACUUGAGUGCAGACAAAGCUCCGGGUAGGGAGGUGAAGGGCGGGCCGGGCUGCGAGGGCCUCUGCAGCUGCUGGGCCCCUCUCAGGGUACCCCGCCUCCUUGUGUCUGUGUUCCUCCUGCAGGGCCCAGAGCACCCCAAUCCUGGGAAGCCAUUCACCGCCAGGGGCUUUCCCCGUCAGUGCUACCUUCCGGACAAUGCCCAGGGCCGCAAGGUAAGGCCCCACCACCCUGGGGGCACCCCCCGCCCUCUGCUGGCAGGCCGUGGCCUGGCUGCUCGUGGGCUGUUCGAGCAGGUGGGAUGGGAGGGCCCAGCUUGGUGGCCAUACCUGCUGUGCCCUGUUCACCUUCUUCUGGGGCUGGCUGGGGUGCUGGCCACUCCUUCCCGGGGCUGCCUGCUAUCCGUGAGGCAUCCUCGACCAGGAGAAACGACCAGCAGGGAGAGACGACCAGCAGGGAGGGGAGGCCACUUCUAGCAACCUCUCUGGCCGGGUCACCUGCUCUUGAGUCAGGCUAGUGUGACGCGUUGGGCAGAGUGGGGACAGGGGAACAGGACUGGGUGACCGUGAUGGCCUGCAAGCCACCUCUGCAU
rnacentral:lncRNA from 1 species